GAUGAACGCUGGCGGCGUGCCUAAUACAUGCAAGUCGAGCGAACAGACGAGGAGCUUGCUCCUCUGACGUUAGCGGCGGACGGGUGAGUAACACGUGGAUAACCUACCUAUAAGACUGGGAUAACUUCGGGAAACCGGAGCUAAUACCGGAUAAUAUAUUGAACCGCAUGGUUCAAUAGUGAAAGACGGUUUUGCUGUCACUUAUAGAUGGAUCCGCGCCGCAUUAGCUAGUUGGUAAGGUAACGGCUUACCAAGGCAACGAUGCGUAGCCGACCUGAGAGGGUGAUCGGCCACACUGGAACUGAGACACGGUCCAGAGUCCUACGGGAGGCAGCAGUAGGGAAUCUUACGCAAUGGGCGAAAGCCUGCCGGAGCAACGCCGCGUGAGUGAUGAAGGUCUUCGGAUCGUAAAACUCUGUUAUUAGGGAAGAACAAAUGUGUAAGUAACUAUGCACGUCUUGACGGUACCUAAUCAGAAAGCCACGGCUAACUACGUG
rnacentral:rRNA from 1 species